rnacentral:rRNA from 1 species
UUCGGGGAGCAAGUAGAGUGGCGCACGGGUGAGUAACACGUAAGUAAUCUGCCUUCGAGUGGGGAAUAACCCGGGGAAACCCGAGCUAAUACCGCAUAAUGCAGCGGCACCUAAUGGUGACAGUUGUUAAAGGAGCAAUCCGCUUGAAGAGGAGCUUGCGGCAGAUUAGCUUGUUGGUAAGGUAACGGCUUACCAAGGCUACGAUCUGUAUCCGGUCUAAGAGGACGGUCGGACACACUGACACUGAAUAACGGGUCAGACUCCUACGGGAGGCAGCAGUCGGGAAUUUUGGGCAAUGGGGGAAACCCUGACCCAGCAACGCCGCGUGAAGGAUGAAGUAUUUCGGUAUGUAAACUUCGAAAGAAUAGGAAGAAUUAAUGACGGUACUAUUUAUAAGGUCCGGCUAACUACGUGCCAGCAGCCGCGGUAAUGCGUAGGGACCAAGCGUUGUUCGGAUUUACUGGGCGUAAAGGGCGCGUAGGCGGCGCGGUAAGUCACUUGUGAAAUCUCUGAGCUUAACUCAGAACGGCCAAGUGAUACUGCAGUGCUAGAGUGUGGA